CCUACGGGCGGCAGCAGUGGGGAAUAUUGGACAAUGGACCAAAAGUCUGAUCCAGCAAUUCUGUGUGCACGAUGAAGUUUUUCGGAAUGUAAAGUGCUUUCAGUUGGGAAGAAGUCAGUGACGGUACCAACAGAAGAAGCGACGGCUAACUCUGUGCCAGCAGCCGCGGUAAUACAGAGGUCUCAAGCGUUGUUCGGAAUCACUGGGCGUAAAGCGUGCGUAGGCGGUUUCGUAAGUCGUGUGUGAAAGGCGGGGGCUCAACCCCCGGACUGCACAUGAUACUGCGAGACUAGAGUACUGGAGAGGUAGGCGGAACUACAAGUGUAGAGGUGAAAUUCGUAGAUAUUUGUAGGAAUGCCGAUGGGGAAGCCAGCCUACUGGACAGAUACUGACGCUAAAGCGCGAAAGCGUGGGUAGCAAACAG
rnacentral:rRNA from 1 species